rnacentral:rRNA from 1 species
GAGUAUACACAGGUAAUCUGCCCUCAAGUGGGGAAUAAACCCGAGAAAUUGGGACUAAUACCACAUAUAAUCCCAUCUAGAAAGCCUUGCUUGAGGAGGAGCUUGUGUCCUAUUAGGUAGUUGGUAGGGUAAGAGCCUACCAAGCCGAAGAUGGGUAGCUGGUCUGAGAGGAUGGUCAGCCAGACGGGGACUGAGAAACGGCCCUGACUCCUACGGGAGGCAGCAGCAAGGGAUAUUGCGCAAUGGGCGAAAGCCUGACGCAGCGACGCCGCGUGGGGGAUGAAAGCCUUCGGGUUGUAAACCCCUUUUCUUGGUGAAGAGGGACGGUAACCAAGGAAUAAGUCUCGGCUAACUACGUGCCAGCAGCCGCGGUAACACGUAGGAGGCAAGCGUUAUCCGGAAUUACUGGGCGUAAAGAGCGUGUAGGCGGCUUCUCAAGUUAGCUGUGAAAUCUUCCGGCUUAACCGGAAGGGGUUAGCUAAAGC